rnacentral:rRNA from 1 species
UACGUAGGGUGCGAGCGUUGUCCGGAAUUACUGGGCGUAAAGAGCUCGUAGGUGGUUUAUUAAGUUUGAUGUGAAAGCCCCGGGCUUAACCUGGGAAUGGCAUUGGAUACUGUCGGGCUCGAGUCCGGAAGAGGAGUGUGGAAUUCCUGGUGUAGCGGUGAAAUGCGCAGAUAUCAGGAGGAACACCAAUGGCGAAGGCAGCACUCUGGGACGUGACUGACGCUGAGACGCGAAAGCGUGGGGAGCAAACAGG